rnacentral:rRNA from 1 species
AGCUCCAAUAGCGUAUAUUAAAGUUGUUGCGGUUAAAAGCUCGUAGUUGGAUUUCUGUUGAGGAAGGUCGGUCUGCACUUUGUGCAUGAUCUGAUUCUGCCUCGGCAUCCUCGCGGGGAACAUGCUGCGCUUGAUUGCGUGGUAUGGUAUUCGCGACUUUUACUUUGAGGAAAUUAGAGUGUUCACGGCAGGCAAUCGCCUUGAAUACAUUAGCAUGGAAUAAUAAUAUAGGACUUUGGUUCUAUUUUGUUGGUUUCUAGAACUAAAGUAAUGAUUAAGAGGGACGAUUGGGGGCAUUUGUACUAAGACGUCAGAGGUGAAAUUCUUAGAUUGUCUUAUGACAAACUACUGCGAAAGCAUUUGCCAAGGAUGUUUUCA